rnacentral:tRNA from 1 species
GCCGAGAUAGCUCAAUGGCAGAGCAACGGUUUUGUAAACCGUAGGUUGUCGGUUCGACUCCGACUCUCGGCU